rnacentral:rRNA from 1 species
UAGGGAAUCUUCGGCAAUGGACGAAAGUCUGACCGAGCAACGCCGCGUGAGUGAAGAAGGUCUUCGGAUCGUAAAACUCUGUUGUUAGAGAAGAACAAGGACGUUAGUAACUGAACGUCCCCUGACGGUAUCUAACCAGAAAGCCACGGCUAACUACGGGCCAGCAGCCGCGGUAAUACGUAGGUGGCAAGCGUUGUCCGGAUUUAUUGGGCGUAAAGCGAGCGCAGGCGGUUUCUUAAGUCUGAUGUGAAAGCCCCCGGCUCAACCGGGGAGGGUCAUUGGAAACUGGGAGACUUGAGUGCAGAAGAGGAGAGUGGAAUUCCAUGUGUAGCGGUGAAAUGCGUAGAUAUAUGGAGGAACACCAGUGGCGAAGGCGGCUCUCUGGUCUGUAACUGACGCUGAGGCUCGAAAGCGUGGGGAGCAAACAGG